GAGGGAGGCACAGAGCAGGAUCCAGCCAUGCCCCGCCCCCUCCUGUAGAAGCCUCUCUGGGCUGUGACUCUGAUUCUCGAGUAAUGCCUUGGAGCCAGGAGGGCUGCUGGCUUCUCUGAUGAACAGUUGAGUCCUAGAGAAAUGGGCAUGCUCCAGAGCCAGGGCACCAGACCCAGAAAGAAAAGUGGUUUAGGUCCUUAGAGACCGUUAAGGAGUUCCCACCUAUACUACCCCGCUUUAGGGAAUGCUUGUGUUUUCUCCCUACCGGAAAUCUGAUGGGCUUAUGACAUCAUGGCUGGCUGCUGAGCGAUGGAGUGGAUGCCACAAAGAAAUCCGACAUAUCCGAUGGAUUCAGAAAUCACUUUCCCUCCUGCGGCUGGAGGAACAGGCAUGUGCAGGCAGGAGAACCUGAGCUUUGUUUGAAAAAUUAUUAAAAAAAAAAAAAAACACAAAAAAAAAAACGAAACAAAAAGCAACCAAACCAAGUCUUGCCUGGCAUUAAAGGCAAUUUUCUUAAAGACAAGCAAAAGGUUUGGCCAUCGUCCUCUUUUAAU
rnacentral:lncRNA from 1 species